GGGGGAAGAAACUCUGGAAAUGAGUCUUUGCCAAAAAAAGACGUUUACGUUAUGCUUGUAGGCGUCGCCCAAAGGAUGAGGCCGCGACCGAUCAGGUUGUUGGUGAGGUAAUGGCUCCCAAGCCUUUUACCGGUGCGGGCCGUGAGAGCGGGAGCCCGGAGAUGGGCACUGAGACAAGGGCCCAGGCCCUACGGGGCGCAGCAGUCGCGAAAACUUUGCAAUACACGAAAGUGUGACAGGGCUAUCCCGAGUGCCAUCCGCUGAGGAAGGCUUUUACCCAGUCUAGAACGCUGGGGGAAUAAGGAGAGGGCAAGUCUGGUGUCAGCCGCCGCGGUAAUACCAGCUCUCCGAGUGGUGUGGAUGUUUAUUGGGCCUAAAGCAUCCGUAGCUGGCUGAGUUAGUCCCUUGUUAAAUCCACCGAAUUAAUCGUUGGAUUGCGGGGGAUACUGCUCGGCUAGGGGACGAGAGAGGCAGACGGUAUUUCUGGGGUAGGGGUGAAAUCCUAUAAUCCCAGGAGGACCACCAGUGGCGAAGGCUGUCUGCUAGAACGCGCCCGACGGUGAGGGAUGAAAGCUGGGGGAGCGAACCGGAUUAGAUACCCGGGUAGUCCCAGCUGUAAACGAUGCAGACUAGGUGUUUGGACGGCUACGUGCCGUUCUAGUGCCGCAGGGAAGCUGUUAAGUCUGCCGCCUGGGGAGUACGAUCGCAAGAUUGAAACUUAAAGGAAUUGGCGGGGGAGCACCACAAGGGGUGAAGCUUGCGGUUUAAUUGGAGUCAACGCCGGGAA
rnacentral:rRNA from 1 species